ACGGCUACAUCGCAUUGAAACACUGGUUCCCAUACAGUCACCAGUUAAGCAAUGUUGAGCGUGGUCAGUACCUAGAUGAGUGACCAUUUGGAAAUACCAGUUGCUGUAAG